rnacentral:SRP_RNA from 1 species
CCGUGCUAGAUGGGGAGGUAGCGGUGCCCUGUAACUCGCAAUCCGCUAUAGCGAGGUUGAAUUCCUAUUAGAGGUUUUGUCGAUGUAAGGUCUGGCGUCUUUGCGCAGUGUUGACGGCCGGGUCCUUCGCAAUAGGCACCUAUGAAUCUGGUCAGGUCCGGAAGGAAGCAGCCAUAAGUAGGUUCGUCUAUGUGCCGAAGGGAAGCCUAGCCUGAGCUGUUGCACGGAAGUGCCGCUUGGAUCGCAAUUAUCAAUAAUAGGUGCACGG